UGGGGAAUCUUGCGCAAUGGGCGAAAGCCUGACGCAGCAACGCCGCGUGGGGGAUGAAGCUUCUCGGAGUGUAAACCCCUUUCGACCCGGACGAAUGCCCGCAAGGGUUUGACGGUACGGGUAUAAGAAGCCCCGGCUAACUACGUGCCAGCAGCCGCGGUAAAACGUAGGGGGCCAGCGUUGCUCGGAAUUACUGGGCGUAAAGGGUCCGUAGGCGGUGUGGCAAGUCGGAAGUGAAAUCUCUGGGCUUAACCCAGAGGCUGCUCCCGAAACUGCUGUGCUAGAGUGCGAGAGAGGCGAGUGGAAUUGCAGGUGUAGCGGUGAAAUGCGUAGAUAUCUGCAGGAACAUCCGAGGCGAAAGCGGCUCGCUGGAUCGCAACUGACGCUGAGGGACGAAAGCUAGGGGAGCAAACAGGAUUAGAUACCCCGGUAGUCC
rnacentral:rRNA from 1 species